CGGACUGUAGGCUGCAACUCGCCUACACGAAGUCGGAAUCGCUAGUAAUCGCGGAUCAGCAUGCCGCGGUGAAUACGCUCCCGGGCCUUGUACACACCGCCCGUCACACCAUGGGAGUUUGUAACGCCCAAAGUCGGUGGCCUAACCUUUAUGGAGGGAGCCGCCUAAGGCGGGACAGAUGACUGGGGUGAAGUCGUAACAAGGUACC
rnacentral:rRNA from 1 species